rnacentral:rRNA from 1 species
AGAUUGAACGCUGGCGGCAGGCCUAACACAUGCAAGUCGAGCGGGGGUAGCGAAUACCCUAGCGGCGAACGGGUGAGGAAUGCUUGGGAAUCUGCCUCGUAGUGGGGGAUAACGUUCCGAAAGGAACGCUAAUACCGCAUACGUCCUACGGGAGAAAGGGGGGAUCUUCGGACCUCUCGCUAUGAGAUGAGCCCAAGCGGGAUUAGCUAGUUGGUGAGGUAAAGGCUCACCAAGGCAACGAUUCCCUAGCUGGUCUGAGAGGAUGAUCAGCCACACU